ensembl:lncRNA
AUCCCCACACGGAGCUGUUUUGGCUCCAUCAUAAAAACAACCAAACGUCUUUUUUCAGUCUUACCUGAAGGUGUUUUUAUCCCCCAGCAGGUGAAGCGACAGUUAGCGGUCGGUGUCCCUCCAGCUGCCCGUUUCCUGCUCAGUAUUUCCGAUGUGCGCUGAAUGAGCAGAGCCGCUGCAGCUCGGCACUUUUCUCCUCCCCUCCGCGGUCACAGCUCAGAGCUCAGCAACACCGACAACCUGCCACGGCCACAGCCGCUGCUGCUUUACCACAGGAGCUCCAAAAACAGCCACCAAGACCCACGGGGGACUGUUUUAUUUUCUUUUUUGUUUCUGUGGCUUUGACAUAAAAGCUAGCAAUGAAUAUGGAAAUCAUCCUUGGUUAUUUUUUUACAUGUUUCUUUAUCACUG